AAUAUUUCACAAGAAAGUAUGAUAUAAAAGUACAAAAAUACUGUAAUGUAAAUAAUGUUUUAAUUUGGUUUUAAUUUGUAUUUUGUUUUUUUUUAGCAUCCACAGAGUGCAAUUUCUCUGAAUCUACUGAAACUUUGCAGUGUUUUGGUUUAGUUGGACAGUUGCUGCUUUUUCAUCUUCCAAACACAGCAAGUACAGAAAUUAAGCUGAUAAAAGACAACAAAUAUCUGAUUUUAAGAAGAAUCAAAAAUGAAAUAGUGACUCUGAAUGAAGAAUAUGCAGACUCACAGACUCAGUCUGAACUCUUCACCCAUGGAACUCUCAACCUCGGGGAAGCAAAGAAAAGACACUCUGGAGAGUACACGCUGGAGGAAUUUGACUCUAAAGGUGCUUUAGUGAAAAAAGUAAUUGGCCAACUAGAAAUACAAGCUCAAGUAUCAGCACCAGCUAUGUCCCAGACGUGUCUGUCACAUGAACAGAUGAAGGUCAAAUGUUCCUCUGAAGGAGAUGGAGUAGAGUUCAGUUUGAGAUUGGACAAUGAACUACUGAUACAUAUCAGAGAUCAGAGUGUGACUCCAAGUAACUGGGCAGAAAACAUACUGUCAAUGGUUCAGAAUACAGCUAAACAAGACAAAUCUAGUGUUUCAGAUGUCGUCAUCGGUUUACAUGGUCAGCGGACAGGAAAUCUGACGUGUAAGGUGUGGAACAAGGUCAGCAAACAUGAAACUGCUAUUUACCUGACAGGCUGUAAAGGUACAGUAGCUAAAAUAUCAGCUCUUUUUAUUUGAAUGUUUGGAGAACAUCUGGCAUCCCCAACAUUCUUAUUUUUUAUUUAUUUUGUUUAUUAAAUUCACAUCUACUGCUGAGAUAUUUUGGUAACUUGUGUCAUGUUGGAAUCUAAUCUAACUGGCUUUGUGUUUUUUUGGUUUUAGAUUUUACUUCAUUCCCUGCUGUGACUGUGGCUGUGAAAGCUGGUGUUUUCACCCUCCUUCUCCUUGUGGCUCUGUAUCUUGGUAGAAAAAAACUUUGUAACAAACCAAGACCACCAACUGUUCAUGAGCGUAAGUAUUCAAAUUACAUCCAUUUACAUUUAGUUAUGGCAGAUGCUUUUAUUCAAAGCGACUUACAAGUAAAGUACAAGGUAUAAGGAGAGGUAAGCAGGAGGAGGUCUUGCCUAAUAACCCCUAAUGUAGGUAGGCCACAGCUGGGAUUCAAAUGACAGUCUCCCUAACCACUACACUAUCCAGUCGCACAUUUGAGAAAAUAACAAACAAGUGAGAAAAAUAAAAAGAGGAAAAAAAAAGAAAAAUUUGAUAGUUUUCCACCUGAAAACACACCUCAUAGUCGUUUAAUUUUUUUUCCAGGAAAUUCUGAAAAUGAAAUCAUCUACACAAAUGCUAAAGUACAAAGACAUGAAGAAAACCAGCCACAACUCACCUAACAACUAACAACAUUUUAUUCUACUCUAACUUACCCUUCCUAAACCUCACUGUCUUUUUCUUAUAGACUGAUGUUUGUGUGUGGAUUUGCCUGUUAAAAAUACCCAUGUAAUAAGAUUUAUCUGUCAGUAAUCUCUGUUGUAAUGUGUCAUUGUAGACAUUAAUAGAACAAAGUACAAUAUAUAAGCAAAGCAGUGACUAAAUGAACAUUCUCAUUAAACGAGGUCAUGGUUGAAGCCAUGAUGAAGCCACCUGGAUGGAAGAACUUAAAGCAAGUCCAGUUGUUACAGAACAGCGUUUUUUUACUAUAAAUGUAGUGACUAUUUCUGACUGAAAGAUGGAGCCAAAGUGAUCUUUUUAUCAUUACAUAAAGAUGAGUAAACAACAUACAUACAUUUAAUUAUGUGUUUUUUAUUUUAGUUUUCUGUAAAUGCUGUACUGCUGUAAUGCUGCAAAGCACCAUUUCCGUUUCAAGACUAUUUUCUGGUUUGUAAUGCUACUAAUUGGUGUGUGGGGCUUUCUCAAGUCAUAAAAUGUCAGCAGCCUUUGAAAAACCUGUUUAGUCUUCUCACAUGUAACCACUGUCUGUAGGUUUUCUUAAAUGCAGCUGUGCUUUCAGUCUCAAAUCUGACCACAGUCAACAUAGGCUGCAUAUGAGAAGGUCAUUGCUUUAAUGAUUUAUUUCCAUAACAUUUUUUUUCUGCCUUCAUCAAUAGAGUAGAUCAAAUCUCUGUUAAAACUGAAAUUCACAUUCUACCUGUCUUAUGACCAAUAAACUGUAAAUAAACAGUCUGAUUGACUGACUGGCUCAUUGUCCGAGUUAAAUGGAUUAAUUCACAGAUACAUUUUGUUAGUUUACAGUCAGUGAUAAAAUUCACUCAACAAACAGUGUCCCACGUGUAAAACUGUGCACAUUCUCCUCCUUGUUUCAAUGAAAGGAGAUAACAGCAGGCUGC
ensembl:lncRNA